rnacentral:rRNA from 1 species
AGAGUUUGAUCAUGGCUCAGGACGAACGCUGGCGGCGUGCUUAACACAUGCAAGUCGAGCGGAAAGGCUUCCUUCGGGAAGUACUCGAGCGGCGAACGGGUGAGUAACACGUGGAUAAUCAACCUCUUGCUCUGGAAUACCCCGGGGAAACUCGGAUCAAUGCCAGAUAAAGUGCGGUGCUGCAGGGUGCCGUACCAAAGAUAGCUUCGGCCUUCGGCGAGAGACGAGUCCGCGGCCCAUUAGCUUGUUGGCGGGGUAACGGCCCACCAAGGCUACGAUGGGUAGCUGGUCUGAGAGGAUGAUCAGCCACACUGGGACUGAGACACGGCCCAGACUCCUACGGGAGGCAGCAGUGGGGAAUCUUGCGCAAUGGGCGAAAGCCUGACGCAGCAACGCCGCGUGCGGGAGGAAGGCCUUCGGGUUGUAAACCGCUUUCAGGGGAGACGAAGCUUCCUGGGUUAAUAGCCCUGUGGAGUGACGGUAUCUUCAGAAGAAGUCCCGGCUAACUACGUGCCAGCAGCCGCGGUGAUACGUAGGGGACAAGCGUUGUCCGGAAUUAUUGGGCGUAAAGCGCGUGUAGGCGGCCAAGUAAGUCUUACGUGAAAUCCUGAGGCUCAACCUCAGGCCUGCGCGGGAUACUGCUUGGCUAGAGUCCGGAAGAGGAGAGUGGAAUUCCUGGUGUAGCGGUGGAAUGCGCAGAUAUCAGGAGGAACAUCCGUGGCGAAGGCGGCUCUCUGGGACGGUACUGACGCUGAGACGCGAAAGCGUGGGGGAGCGAACAGGAUUAGAUACCCUAGUAGUCC